CCAGGAAGGAAAAUAGGGCAACGUCGCUUGCAGCAGCUGGUGAAAGUUUUGUGAGCUGCCUCCGCCUGUUUGCUUUCCCUGGGCCACAGUCGGGAGCGCAGGGUGGGGCUGGGUCCCUUAUCCCUGCCUGGCACUGCUGCUGUCAACACGUGUGAGGCAGAUCACCCCUGCACUGCUCUGCCCCCACGCAGGGAUGGGAUGUGUUUCAGCUCGCAGUCAGGGCCAGCACGAGGGCAGGGUUUGUCCCUACACGUCCAAAGCAUUUUCUUUGUGAAGUGGCUAUAAGCUGUACAAUGGGCUCUGGGCGAUCCAUGCUUCCAGCCCUGUGAAGUUGAUCUCCUGCGUUAAGCUUAGCCAGAGUCAGGGGGGCUCAGUCAGUCUCCAUACCAGAUACUGCCUAGCUUCCCAAAGAGCUAGGACAAGAGGGUAAGUUUAAUGCUGUGUAACUGUAACAGCCCGUAGACUCUGUCAAACAUAAAGGAAAAAACAGUGUUUGCCUGGAAAAGUCAUAAAAACCAAUGAUCUUGGGAAGAUGGUGAUGUGUUGAGACUAAUUCCUCCCAUCUGAAUGUUUUGGUUAAAGCUGAAAAUAGGUAUAAAUAAAAGGAACGAUGAAAUCUA